GCAAUUCAGGCAGCAUCCAAGGAGCAGCGAAAUCGACGUUUCGGGCAAAAGUCCUUUAUAUGGGAAUUUGCAGAGAGUGGUUUGAGCUGUUACUGCCAUCAUCCAGCAUUCUUACCACGAAAACAUGUUUCUUAAAAUUACGGCAAAAAAAUUACCAAAACUCAACCCUAAAUGUGUGUCAUCUUACAUGAUUUAUCAAUCUCAUAUCCUGGUUCAUGAAUAAUGCAUUGACACAUGAAGAUGCCUUCUAGUGGUGAGAUCUUGGUCAGUUAUACUCCAAGGAAGCUGGUCACUGGUUCAUGAGCGGCCCAUCAAGUACUGAAGAUGGAUUCAGCAGGGAAUAUCAAUGUAGCAGAUCAUAACACACAAAGACACCAAGAUUGGGUGAUUGAACAGAGCGAAGAAUACAAAGGUACGGCUGCAAAGAAGGU